rnacentral:lncRNA from 1 species
UCCGAGCGACGGAUAUUGAUUUUAAUCAAAGGCAUCGCCCGCUCUAUCCGCGAAACGGGCGCGUACAGCCGAUGCGCCGUGGCCUUCUCCUCCGGACUUAGGCAGCGACACGGAGCAUCGCGCCACUCCGCGAUGAAAAUUCGCAGACGAAGCGUGAAUACAUUCACAUGAACCCGUUCAUGCUCGAGGGAGAUUCGAGGGAGGGAUCGGACACGCGCCUCAAUCUAGG